AUCGAACGCUGGCGGCAGGCCUAACACAUGCAAGUCGAACGAGUGGCGGACGGGUGAGUAAUGUCUGUGAAACGGCUCGAUGGAGGGGGAUAACUACUGGAAACGGUAGCUAAUCCCGCAUACCAUCGGAUGUGCCCAGAUGGGAUUGGCUAGUGGGUGGGGUAACGGCUCACCUAGGCCACGAUCCCUAGCUGGUCUGAGAGGAGGACCAGCCCAACUGGAACUGGGACACGGUCCAGACUCCUACGGGAGGCGGCAGUGGGGAAUAUUGCACAAUGGGCGCAAGCCUGAUGCAGCCAGGCCGCGUGUAUGAAGAAGGCCUUCGGGUUGUAAAGUACUUUCAGCGAGGAGGCGUUACUCGCAGAAGAAGCACCGGCUAACUCCGUGCCAGCAGCCGCGGUAAUUC
rnacentral:rRNA from 1 species